CGUCUGGACAUGGCACGUGCCUUGUUCUUUGUCCGUCAAAGGAGUUCAUUCAUGAGGAGUAUUCGCUGAGCCACCGAUGACACUAACCUACAUCAAGUUAUGGUUAAACAAAGUAAUCUACAGUCGCUUAAUUAUCAGCUCAGACAUCAUCAUCGCAAUCAUUUCCAACGAUGUGUGGGGUCCCGAGAGAGCAAGGCCCGGCCACAAACAGCCGGGUAGCGGAAGCAGCAGAAUCAGAAGUAGCUGCGUCGCAUUUGAUCAACUGUGACAUUGUAAACUCUCAACUGUUAAACUCUAACAAGGUGAAAUAUAAUAUUAUAACCUAUUAACUAAAACCUAUCCAUUGUAACGCUGUAAAAUACGAUUAACUGUUAUAGUGUAUAACCACGUAAAUUGAGGUAUGGGAUAAUAAUGGUAUUGGAAUCAUUAGAAUCGCACUGUGCUCGUAUUAGAAUCACACUGUGGUCGUACGUAUGGAAAGUGAAUAUGCGAACCGGGGAAGGAUAUGCAGGAUAAGAAUCGAAUUACAAUAUUAAAAUCCCACUAGUCGUAUUAGAAUCACACUGUCCACUGUUGGAUGAUUGUGUCGUAUCAAUGGAAUCGAAUAUCUAUAUACACUAUAUAUACACAUACAAAGAUUAUAACAAUCACACAUUGUAACAUAUGUACAAUACACAUGAUUUAAAAACGUAUUUAAAAUGUUUUAUUUUUUUACUUUUACUGAGAGUCGUUGUCCAUGUAGGGAGAUGGAGCGCAGUGGAUCGUAUCGUCUCCGCUAUGUUUCGGAAUCCGUGUGAUCACCCAGUCACAUCGCCUAACUCCAGUCACAGCGCCUUACCCAAACUACAUCUCCCCAACAAGGCAGCCUUCCCGCUUCUGUGUAUUGUGUUUAUGGGAUAACAGAGGUGUCUAUUAUCCCAUACGCCUUGACUAAAACGACUGAUUGCCCGCUUAACACCCUAGCUCAUAAACCACUAUUGGUGACAGUGUUGUUUGAGAGCAGCUAUUAAAGUGGCUGCGGCAAAUGAGGUGGUGGCUGGCCGAACCGUGCCUCGCUGUUUGUCUCCGGAGUGAUGACGGAUACAAACCAGACCAAGCGGAGGCCAUGUACCAGAUCGGGUUUUGGUUACUGAUGUUAGAGUGAUUGUGUUGCAAGUGUGGUCACUACGCGUCUGAACGUGCUCAAGCCCCGAAGCUCGGCGGUUGUGGGCAACGCCACGUGACUGCAUUCACUUUAAUUCGAGGACAAUGGAGGGCAUGGGGAAAGUGUUUUUACAGCGCUAAUCCAAUUUAUUCAAAAUAAGCGCGCAAUUACACAAUGAGAUGCACUUACAUAUUCAGGCAUGAAACACAAUAGGCACAUUACGAUUCGGUAUGUUAAUAGACAUACGGAUUGUACCUUCCAAAAUUAACAAUCGAAUGCAAAUAUCCUGAAAGACAAAGGAUUGGAUCCUAGGAGGGGAGUUAUAAGGCGGCUCAGAACAGAGCUCAAGGCCAUUUCGAGAGGGAACUUGAUGAGGCUGGACGCUCGACUCGUCGCUCUGCUGAUCGCCCUUCUAACGCGAGACAACGCAGCCUGGUGAACACAAUUGCUGUGUCGACAGUUAGGCGACUUUGCUUCGUAUGGUGAGUGAAUAUGCGAGUUCGUGGGGACAUCUUCAGACGGGUUACAGACAUCGAUUCACCGUGAAUCUCCAAAGUUCCGGGAUCGAUACCCACGACCUCCUGCGUUCCAGGCGAGGUAGUCAACAUCGUCCAAUAACCCCCUGAGGCUCCGCCCCCCUCAUCCUGGCCUCGCCCCCUUUCUUUCGCCACGCCCAUCGCAACGACCCCCUCAGCUUGACGAUGGGGGGAGUAGACAAGGACCAUCAGCCAAUCGCGUCGCUUGGAUCCGCUGGGGGGCGUGGCGGUCCUUCCUAUGAGGAGGGGCUCAGGGCCGGUAUCUCCAUCCUGUGUCUGCUCCUCGCCCUCUCGCUGGGGCUUCUCUUGUGCUGCUUCUUGAGGACGAGGAAGAGAUGGUGGAGGAGGUGGUGGCGGGUGGAUACUCUGAGCUGAUGGAGCAGCACCAGCUGAUGGCAGGCGACCCUCCUGGCGGCCAAUUGGAGACGGGGGGGCGUGGCCUCGUGCCCACGGCCCCCGCCCACAAGGGGCGUGGCUUCGAAGCGACCAAUGAGAUUUCACCUCCUCCAUACGAGAAGACAGCUCCACUGGAUUCACCACCGCCAUAUCCAGCUCACAACACAGAUUCACCACCUGUGGUGCCACAACUGCGGAGCAGCUCCACAGGCACGGCGACUCCCUCCCGGCCCCCCGCACUAAACACGCCACCCACACGCAGCGCACCCACGUAGUGUCCUGG